rnacentral:rRNA from 1 species
UACGGAGGGUGCAAGGGUUAUCCGGAUUCACUGGGUUUAAAGGGUGCGUAGGUGGCUUUGUAAGUCCGUGGUGAAAUCUCGGAGCUUAACUCCGAAACUGCCAUUGAUACUGCUUAGCUUGAAUCAGGUAGAGGUGGAUGGAAUAUUACAUGUAGCGGUGAAAUGCUUAGAUAUGUAAUAGAACACCGAUUGCGAAGGCAGUUCACUAUGCCUGCAUUGACACUGAGGCACGAAAGCGUGGGGAUCAAACAGG